UCCAAUGUGUAAACACUAGUAUAAUUAUAAGUAGAAUCGAACUGUGUCCAUUAGCAGAAAGGAUCAGAGUCCCCUUUUCCGUUUUAGGUUAUAGCACUUCUAUUUAGGGCAUCCCCAAAUCUAGUCAUGUAUACCUCAUUUGCUCUUGUCAGCUGCAGUGUGUUGUGAUGUCUCUCAAGUCUGUUUUAGGACAUUACACGCACAUACUCCUACAUACUAUCUGAAGACUCUUCUCUCCAUCAAGCUCAUUCCUUCAGAAGCAAGGGGGCCAUUCAUGCAUCCUUGUGCUUCUCAUGAUGGGCCGUGGAGAAUUUCAUGUUAUCAGAGGGCGAUGUAAACUGAACCUGAGAUGGUGUGUUACCAGUUUCCAUGGAAAAUGAAAAUCGGGGCGAGCCUUUUACAUUCGUGGAAGAAGAUUGAAUCCGAAGACAGAAGACGAAAGGACCACCACCAAAAGUUGAAAUCCUUAUUAUUAGGUGAGGAUCAACUGCCCAAUGAUGCAAGUACAUUGAGAAUUGUACAGUUUAACUGAAUUCAGCAAAUUACAACCUUUAUUACAUAAUCCAACUCAA